rnacentral:tRNA from 1 species
UAUAUUUUAGUGUAUGAAGCACAAAAGUUUUUGAUACUUUUAGAAUUAGUUAAAUUCUAUUAAAUAUAA